rnacentral:rRNA from 1 species
UGGGGAAUUUUGGACAAUGGGCGCAAGCCUGAUCCAGCCAUGCCGCGUGCGGGAAGAAGGCCUUCGGGUUGUAAACCGCUUUUGGCAGGAACGAAACGGCGCGAGCUAAUACCUCGCGCUAAUGACGGUACCUGCAGAAUAAGCACCGGCUAACUACGUGCCAGCAGCCGCGGUAAUACGUAGGGUGCAAGCGUUAAUCGGAAUUACUGGGCGUAAAGCGUACGCAGGCGGCUUUGCAAGACAGGUGUGAAAUCCCCGGGCCUAACCUGGGAACUGCAUUUGUGACUGCAUGGCUAGAGUCUGUCAGAGGGGGGUGAAUUCCACGUGUAGCAGUGAAAUGCGUAGAGAUGUGGAAGAACACCGAUGGCGAAGGCAGCCCCCUGGGAUAAGACUGACGCUCAUGUACGAAAGCGUGGGGAGCAAACAGGAUUAGAUACCCUGGUAGUCCACGCCCUAAACGAUGUCUACUAGUUGUCGGA